AUGCCAGGGGCACAGCCUAUGAAUAUUCGUCUAUACCGGCACAAGCCUGAGCAUAAGACAGAAAUAGAGAAGCAGGUGGCUGAACUGCUCAGGCAGGGGAUCAUCAGGCAAAGUGCCAGUCCUUUCGCAUCGCUGGCCAUCUUGGUAAAUAAGAAGGAUGGAACGUGGCGCCUCUGUAUUGACUAUUGCCAACUCAAUGCAAUGACCACUGUACCCAAGUUCCCAGUUCCAGUUAUUGAAGAGUUGCUCGAUGAACUCCAUGGUGCAGUAUGGUUCUCGAAACUUGAUCUCCGGGCAGGUUACUAUUAG
rnacentral:rRNA from 1 species